AGCGAACGCUGGCGGCAGGCCUAACACAUGCAAGUCGAACGAACCCUUCGGGGUUAGUGGCGGACGGGUGAGUAACACGUGGGAACGUGCCUUUAGCUUCGGAAUAACUCAGGGAAACUUGUGCUAAUACCGAAUGUGCCCUCCGGGGGAAAGAUUUUUCGCCCUUAGAGCGGCCCGCGUCUGAUUAGCUAGUUGGUGAGGUAAUGGCUCACCAAGGUUUCGAUCAGUCGCUGGUCGGAGAGGAUGCCCAGCCACAUUGGGACUGAGACACGGCCCAAGCUCCUACGGGAGGCAGCAGGGGGGAAUCUUGCGCAGUGGGCGAAAGCCUGACGCAGCCAUGCCGCGUGGAUGAUGAAGGUCUUAGGAUUGUAAAAUCCUUUCACCGGUGAAGAUAAUGACUGUAGCCGGAGAAGAAGCCCCGGCUAACUUCGUGCCAGCCGCCGCCGUAAGAC
rnacentral:rRNA from 1 species